rnacentral:rRNA from 1 species
AUUGAACGCUGGCGGCAUGCUUUACACAUGCAAGUCGAACGGCAGCGCGGGCUUCGGCCUGGCGGCGAGUGGCGAACGGGUGAGUAAUGCAUCGGAACGUGCCCAGUAGUGGGGGAUAGCCCGGCGAAAGCCGGAUGAAUACCGCACACGACCUGAGGGUGAAAGCGGGGGACCGAAAGGCCUCGCGCUAUUGGAGCGGCCGAUGUCGGAUUAGCUAGUUGGUGGGGUAAAGGCUUACCAAGGCGACGAUCCGUAGCUGGGCUGAGAGGACGACCAGCCACACUGGGACUGAGACACGGCCCAGACUCCUACGGGAGGCAGCAGUGGGGAAUUUUGGACAAUGGGGGCAACCCUGAUCCAGCCAUGCCGCGUGCGGGAAGAAGGCCUUCGGGUUGUAAACCGCUUUUGUUCGGGAAGAACUCCUCUGGGCUAAUACCCCGGGGGGAUGACGGUACCGGAAGAAUAAGCACCGGCUAACUACGUG